UACGGAGGGUGCAAGCAUUGAUCGGAAUUACUGGGCGUAAAGGGCGCGUAGGCGGCGAGAUAAGUCAGAUGUGAAAUUCCGGGGCUCAACCCCGGAGCUGCAUUUGAAACUGUCUGGCUAGAGUUCAGUUAGGGUAAACGGAAUUCCACGUGUAGCGGUGAAAUGCGUAGAUAUGUGGAAGAACACCGGUGGUGAAGACGGUUUACUGGGCUGAUACUGACGCUGAGGCGCGAAAGCAUGGGGAGCAAACAGG
rnacentral:rRNA from 1 species